rnacentral:misc_RNA from 1 species
AGGAAAAUUGACAGAAACCGACAACCGCCUGAAUCAGGUCUUAUGUGUGAGCUGUUGUGGUCGGACCCUCAACCCAUGCCUGGUCGAGCGGAGAGUAAGCGAGGAGUAGGGACGAUGUUUGGACCGGACAUCACCAGUAAAUUCUUACAACGAAACAACCUUGAGUACAUAAUACGAAGUCACGAGGUGAAACCAGAGGGCUACGAGGUCAUGCAUGACGGGAAGUGUAUAACGGUCUUCUCCGCCCCUAACUACUGUGAUACAAUGGGAAACCAAGGAGCCUUUCUGACAAUUACUGGAGAUGAUUUGACGCCAAAGUUUACAUCAUUUGAUUCUGUGCCACAUCCGAACGUGAAACCUAUGGCCUAUGCAAACAGUUUGUUUGGUAUGUUUUAGUCAGCAGGAGUUUGACUCUAAGCCUGUGAAAUGAACACUGUAUAACCACGAUGUGACAGAGAAAUCAUGGAGACCGCUAAUGAAUGGAAACGCCAAUCACCCAACUCAUGCAAACCCUGGAUACCAGAACUCAAUAUCAUCCUAUAUACAUGUAAUCUGAUUAUGUGACUGUCUUUGUUGUAUGUACUGAGGGUACAUAGUGAUGUGUACGCCUGAAGUAGCACCGCUGUAGUUCAGUGGUUGUUAUACCACGGUGGUGUCACUACCCGCUCAGUGUGUACCGGUCUAAAAUGUGGACCUGUGUCUUGGACUUGAAUGUAGAUGCUACUAUGUCAGUACUGUUUGUGGCAGCUGAUGUUUUUAUUGUCAGGAACUGCAAGUUUUAAUAAACAAUAAACAUUG